AGAGUUUGAUCCUGGCUCAGGACGAACGCUGUCGGCGCGCCUAACACAUGCAAGUCGAACGAGCGAGAGAGAGCUUGCUUUCUCAAGCGAGUGGCGAACGGGUGAGUAACGCGUGAGGAACCUGCCUCAAAGAGGGGGACAACAGUUGGAAACGACUGCUAAUACCGCAUAAGCCCACAGGUCGGCAUCGACCAGAGGGAAAAGGAGCAAUCCGCUUUGAGAUGGCCUCGCGUCCGAUUAGCUAGUUGGUGAGGUAAUGGCCCACCAAGGCAACGAUCGGUAGCCGGACUGAGAGGUUGAACGGCCACAUUGGGACUGAGACACGGCCCAGACUCCUACGGGAGGCAGCAGUGGGGAAUAUUGCACAAUGGGGGAAACCUUGAUGCAGCGACGCCGCGUGGAGGAAGAAGGUCUUCGGAUUGUAAACUCCUGUUGUUGAGGAAGAUAAUGACGGUACUCAACAAGGAAGUGACGGCUAACUACGUGCCAGCAGCCGCGGUAAAACGUAGGUCACAAGCGUUGUCCGGAAUUACUGGGUGUAAAGGGAGCGCAGGCGGGAAGACAAGUUGGAAGUGAAAUCUAUGGGCUCAACCCAUAAACUGCUUUCAAAACUGUUUUUCUUGAGUAGUGCAGAGGUAGGCGGAAUUCCCGGUGUAGCGGUGGAAUGCGUAGAUAUCGGGAGGAACACCAGUGGCGAAGGCGGCCUACUGGGCACCAACUGACGCUGAGGCUCGAAAGUGUGGGUAGCAAACAGGAUUAGAUACCCUGGUAGUCCACACCGUAAACGAUGAUUACUAGGUGUUGGAGGAUUGACCCCUUCAGUGCCGCAGUUAACACAAUAAGUAAUCCACCUGGGGAGUACGACCGCAAGGUUGAAACUCAAAGGAAUUGACGGGGGCCCGCACAAGCAGUGGAGUAUGUGGAUUAAUUCGAAGCAACGCGAAGAACCUUACCAGGUCUUGACAUCGUAUGCAUAGCUCAGAGAUGAGUGAAAUCUCUUCGGAGACAUAUAGACAGGUGGUGCAUGGUUGUCGUCAGCUCGUGUCGUGAGAUGUUGGGUUAAGUCCCGCAACGAGCGCAACCCUUACUGUUAGUUGCUACGCAAGAGCACUCUAGCAGGACUGCCGUUGACAAAACGGAGGAAGGUGGGGAUGACGUCAAAUCAUCAUGCCCCUUAUGACCUGGGCCUCACACGUACUACAAUGGCUGUUAACAGAGGGAUGCAAAGCCGCGAGGUGGAGCGAACCCCUAAAAGCAGUCUUAGUUCGGAUUGUAGGCUGCAACCCGCCUACAUGAAGUCGGAAUUGCUAGUAAUCGCAGAUCAGCAUGCUGCGGUGAAUACGUUCCCGGGCCUUGCACACACCGCCCGUCA
rnacentral:rRNA from 1 species